UAAUACGGGGGGUGCAAGCGUUAUUCGGAAUUAUUGGGCGUAAAGGGCGCGCAGGCGGCCUCUUAAGUCAGAUGUGAAAGCCCGGGGCUUAACCCCGGAAGUGCAUUUGAAACUAAGGGGCUUGAGUAUGGGAGAGGGAAGUGGAAUUCCUGGUGUAGCGGUGAAAUGCGUAGAUAUCAGGAGGAACACCGGUGGCGAAGGCGACUUCCUGGACCAAUACUGACGCUGAGGCGCGAAGGCUAGGGGAGCAAACGGGAUUAGACACCCCGGUAGUCCUAGCUGUAAACGAUGCAGACUUGGUGUUGGGAGUGUAAAAACUUUCAGUGCCGGAGCUAACGCGUUAAGUCUGCCGCCUGGGGACUACGACCGCAAGGUUA
rnacentral:rRNA from 1 species